UACGAAGGGGGCUAGCGUUGCUCGGAAUCACUGGGCGUAAAGGGUGCGUAGGCGGGUCUUUUAAGUCAGGGGUGAAAUCCCGGAGCUCAACUCCAGAACUGCCUUUGAUACUGAGGAUCUUGAGUUCGGGAGAGGUGAGUGGAACUGCGAGUGUAGAGGUGAAAUUCGUAGAUAUUCGCAAGAACACCAGUGGCGAAGGCGGCUCACUGGCCCGAUACUGACGCUGAGGCACGAAAGCGUGGGGAGCAAACAGG
rnacentral:rRNA from 1 species